AGUGGCGGACGGGUGAGUAACGCGUGGGUAACCUGCCUCAUACAGGGGGAUAACAGUUAGAAAUGACUGCUAAUACCGCAUAAGCGCACAAAACCGCAUGGUUUGGUGUGAAAAACUGAGGUGGUAUGAGACGGACCCGCGUCUGAUUAGCUAGUUGGAGAGGUAACGGCUCACCAAGGCAACGAUCAGUAGCCGACCUGAGAGGGUGACCGGCCACAUUGGGACUGAGACACGGCCCAAACUCCUACGGAAGGCAGCAG
rnacentral:rRNA from 1 species